GAUGAACGCUGGCGGCGUGCUUAACACAUGCAAGUCGAACGAACCUUCGGGUUAGUGGCGGACGGGUGAGUAACGCGUGAGAAUCUGCCCUCAGGAGGGGGACAACAGCUGGAAACGGCUGCUAAUACCCCAUAUGCCGCGAGGUGAAAUGAAUUUCGCCUGAGGAUGAGCUCGCGUCUGAUUAGCUAGUUGGUGUAGGUAAUGGCUCACCAAGGCAUCGAUCAGUAGCUGGUCUGAGAGGAUGAUCAGCCACACUGGGACUGAGACACGGCCCAGACUCCUACGGGAGGCAGCAGUGGGGAAUUUUCCGCAAUGGGCGAAAGCCUGACGGAGCAACGCCGCGUGAGGGAUGAAGGCCUCUGGGCUGUAAACCUCUUUUAUCAAGGAAGAAGAUCUGACGGUACUAAAGGAAUAAGCCACGGCUAAUUCCGUG
rnacentral:rRNA from 1 species